UGCAGUCGAACGGUAACAGGUCUUCGGAUGCUGACGAGUGGCGAACGGGUGAGUAAUACAUCGGAACGUGCCCGAUCGUGGGGGAUAACGCAGCGAAAGCUGUGCUAAUACCGCAUACGAUCUACGGAUGAAAGCGGGGGAUCGCAAGACCUCGCGCGGACGGAGCGGCCGAUGGCAGAUUAGGUAGUUGGUGGGGUAAAGGCUCACCAAGCCUUCGAUCUGUAGCUGGUCUGAGAGGACGACCAGCCACACUGGGACUGAGACACGGCCCAGACUCCUACGGGAGGCAGCAGUGGGGAAUUUUGGACAAUGGGCGCAAGCCUGAUCCAGCCAUGCCGCGUGCAGGAUGAAGGCCUUCGGGUUGUAAACUGCUUUUGUACGGAACGAGAAGGUCUUUUUUAAUAAAGAGGGCCCAUGACGGUACCGUAAGAAUAAGCACCGGCUAACUACGUGCCAGCAGCCGCGGUAAUACGUAGGGUGCAAGCGUUAAUCGGAAUUACUGGGCGUAAAGCGUGCGCAGGCGGUAAUGUAAGACAGAUGUGAAAUCCCCGGGCUCAACCUGGGAACUGCAUUUGUGACUGCAUUGCUGGAGUGCGGCAGAGGGGGAUGGAAUUCCGCGUGUAGCAGUGAAAUGCGUAGAUAUGCGGAGGAACACCGAUGGCGAAGGCAAUCCCCUGGGCCUGCACUGACGCUCAUGCACGAAAGCGUGGGGAGCAAACAGGAUUAGAUACCCUGGUAGUCCACGCCCUAAACGAUGUCAACUGGUUGUUGGGUCUUCAUUGACUCAGUAACGAAGCUAACGCGUGAAGU
rnacentral:rRNA from 1 species